rnacentral:rRNA from 1 species
GUUUACGGCCAUGCCACCCUGAAUGUGCCUGAUCUCAUCUGAUCUCAGAAGCUAAGCAGGGACGGGCCUGGUUAGUACCUAGGAAGACCAGGUGCUGUGGGUG